CAGAAACUUAAAGGACUUGACGGGGCCCGCACAAGCGGAGGAGCAUGUGGUUAAUUCGAUGAUACGCGAGGAACCUUACCUGGGCUCGAACGUAAGAUGACUGUAGGUGAAAGCUUACAUCUCUUCGGAGCAUUUUACGAGGUGCUGCAUGGUUGUCGUCAGCUCGUGCCGUGAGGUGUCGGGUUAAGUCCCAUAACGAGCGCAACCCCUACCUUAGUUGCCAUCAGGUUAAGCUGGGGACUCUAAAGGAACUGCCUACGCAAGUAGUGAGGAAGGCGGGGAUGACGUCAAAUCAGCACGGCCCUUACGUCCAGGGCUACACACGUGCUACAAUGGCCGAUACAGAGGGCAGCUACCUGGUGACAGGAUGCAAAUCUCCAAAGUCGGUCUCAGUUCGGAUCGGAGUCUGCAACCCGACUCCGUGAAGUUGGAUUCGCUAGUAAUCGCGCAUCAGCCAUGGCGCGGUGAAUACGUUCCCGGGCCUU
rnacentral:rRNA from 1 species